UAGGGAAUCUUCGGCAAUGGACGAAAGUCUGACCGAGCAACGCCGCGUGAGUGAAGAAGGUUUUCGGAUCGUAAAACUCUGUUGUUAGAGAAGAACAAGGACGUUAGUAACUGAACGUCCCCUGACGGUAUCUAACCAGCAAGCCACGGCUAACUACGUGCCAGCAGCCGCGGUAAGACGUAGGUGGCAAGCGUUGUCCGGAUUUAUUGGGCGUAAAGCGAGCGCAGGCGGUUUCUUAAGUCUGAUGUGAAAGACCCCGGCUCAACCGGGGAGGGUCAUUGGAAACUGGGAGACUUGAGUGCAGAAGAGGAGAGUGGAAUUCCAUGUGUAGCGGUGAAAUGCGUAGAUAUAUGGAGGAACACCAGUGGCGAAGGCGGCUCGCUGGUCUGUAACUGACGCUGAGGCUCGAAAGCGUGGGGAGCAAACAGG
rnacentral:rRNA from 1 species